UACGGGGGGAGCAAGCGUUGUUCGGAUUUACUGGGCGUAAAGGGCGCGUAGGCGGCCACCGCAAGUCGGUUGUGAAAUCUCUGGGCUUAACCCAGAAAGGUCAACCGAUACUGCGGGGCUAGAGUGCAGAAGGGGCAACUGGAAUUCUCGGUGUAGUGGUGAAAUGCGUAGAUAUCGAGAGGAACACCUGCGGCGAAGGCGGGUUGCUGGGCUGACACUGACGCUGAAGCGCGAAAGCUAGGGGAGCGAACGGG
rnacentral:rRNA from 1 species